CAUUAUGGGUGGGCUAGAGCCCUCCUCCCUGCCAGUGUCACUCCAGGCCGUGGUGAACAGAGCAAGCACCAUCCCAGGUCUGCUGGGUCACAGGCCAGAUGUAAAGAGGCACCUGGUGAAUCACCACUGCUUUCUAGAGCUUCUGCCUGGAUUCAUGUCACCUCCGUGAUGCCUCCUGGAGUAGGAAAUUCCUCUCCUGCAGAGCAUUCCAGGAGAAGCAGAGGAAGAUCUACCUGUUCUGAGAUUAACUGGGAUCACUUGGGAGGCAUGCGGUGAUGGUCACAAUAGCAAUAAUAACAAAACAGUUCUGAUUUUUCUCUCAGAAACAAAGAAACCUGUUUUUGGACAGUACAGCAAGUACUAUUUGGAAAGAAGUCAAGAUUUGGAACUAAGAGUGCUGGAUAAAUGGCUAUUGCUGAGUGUGUUCUGUAAACCAGCCCUGCAUGAAGAGGUCCUGAGCUGGCACUAUCUCUUCCCAGUGGUAUGGAGAUCCAUGGUACAAAUACCUGAUUUGGGGCAUGGUUGCAUAUGUCCUCCUGAUUUGUUAACUCAGUCUUGGCUAAAGUUGGGGAUGAAGUUCAGGACAAAAUGUAUAUGCUUAGAUUCAAUGAAAUGCAUUCAUUUCUUACUAAAGUGACAGCAUCUUGCUUAGGGCUCUCUUUGUUCAUUGCUUCACGAUAGCAAUCCCUUAAAGGGCUUAUGACUCUGGAAACAGUUGAAUGUAAAUUGGGAAGGGCCUUGGCAAAGCUUUUGAAGUUGUUUGCUGCAUUUCCAGCUUUCUUGUUCCUAUUUACCUUGUUCUCUAUUUCUUCCCUCCACACUCCUUUUUCUUCUUCCCAGUCAUCCUUUAGGCAUUUUAUAAUUGACCUAUUAUUAAUGUAAUAAUUGUUAUUAGCAAGGAUCAUCAAUAGAUGCUAAACCCUUGGAUGGAAGGUUGUUAGGGAACAGGAUAUUCGCACAUGCUAAUAUAUCACUCCAGAGUUACCCGCUAAUUGUGUGGAGGAAAGGCACUCUUACAAUGGAGACAUCUGAUGGUCACUCUCUACUCAAGUGAUCAAGUUUGAAUGAGCACUUAUGGAGAGGCAACCUCCUGAUAGGACACAACAUGAACUGUAUACUGUCACCAAAUCUGAUCAAGCCUCUAGACCUAUCCUCCAUUGACAGGAAAUAUAGAGGAUAGACUUGGAACAAAGUAAAGAGCAGUACAACAAAAUAAUCAGCCAAACCAGAUUAUGGGUAAUUUUACAGAACUGUCCUGGACUCUUAAAAAAAUCAAUAUUGUGAAUAAAAAGUGGGGCAAUUGU